UGAGGAAUAUUGGUCAAUGGGCGAGAGCCUGAACCAGCCAAGUAGCGUGCAGGAAGACGGCCCUAUGGGUUGUAAACUGCUUUUAUAAGGGAAUAAAGUGAGUCUCGUGAGACUUUUUGCAUGUACCUUAUGAAUAAGGACCGGCUAAUUCCGUGCCAGCAGCCGCGGUAAUACGGAAGGUCCGGGCGUUAUCCGGAUUUAUUGGGUUUAAAGGGAGCGUAGGCCGGAGAUUAAGCGUGUUGUGAAAUGUAGGCGCUCAACGUCUGCACUGCAGCGCGAACUGUUUUCCUUGAGUACGCACAAAGUGGGCGGAAUUCGUGGUGUAGCGGUGAAAUGCUUAGAUAUCACGAAGAACUCCGAUUGCGAAGGCAGCUCACUGGAGCGCAACUGACGCUGAAGCUCGAAAGUGCGGGUAUCGAACAGG
rnacentral:rRNA from 1 species